rnacentral:rRNA from 1 species
GGAAGGAUCAUUACCGAGUUGAUUCGGGCUCCGGCCCGAUCCUCCCACCCUUUGUGUACCUACCUCUGUUGCUUUGGCGGGCCGCGGUCCUCCGCGGCCGGCCCCCCCUCCCCGGGGGGUGGCCAGCGCCCGCCAGAGGACCAUCAAACUCCAGUCAGUAAACGAUGCAGUCUGAAAAACAUUUAAUAAACUAAAACUUUCAACAACGGAUCUCUUGGUUCUGGCAUCGAUGAAGAACGCAGCGAAAUGCGAUAAGUAAUGUGAAUUGCAGAAUUCAGUGAAUCAUCGAAUCUUUGAACGCACAUUGCGCCCUUUGGUAUUCCGAAGGGCAUGCCUGUUCGAGCGUCAUUACAACCCUCAAGCUCUGCUUGGUAUUGGGCACCGUCCUUUGCGGGCGCGCCUCAAAGACCUCGGCGGUGGCGUCUUGCCUCAAGCGUAGUAGAACAUACAUCUCGCUUCGGAGCGCAGGGCGUCGCCCGCCGGACGAACCUUCUGAACUUUUCUCAAGGUUGACCUCGGAU